rnacentral:rRNA from 1 species
GAAACCAACAGGGAUUGCCCUAGUAACGGCGAGUGAAGCGGCAACAGCUCAAAUUUGAAAUCUGGCCCUAGGCCCGAGUUGUAAUUUGCAGAGGAUGCUUUUGGUGACGCGCCUACCGAGUCCCCUGGAAUGGGGCGCCACAGAGGGUGAGAGCCCCGUAUGGUUUGACGCUGAGCCUCUGUAAAGCUCCUUCGACGAGUCGAGUAGUUUGGGAAUGCUGCUCUAAAUGGGAGGUAAAUUUCUUCUAAAGCUAAAUACCGGCCAGAGACCGAUAGCGCACAAGUAGAGUGAUCGAAAGAUGAAAAGCACUUUGAAAAGAGGGUUAAAUAGCACGUGAAAUUGUUGAAAGGGAAGCGCUUGUGACCAGACUUGCGCCGGGCGGAUCAUCCAGCGUUCUCGCUGGUGCACUCCGUCCGGCUCAGGCCAGCAUCGGUUUUCGCCGGGGGACAAAAGCUUCGGGAACGUAGCUCCCUUCGGGGAGUGUUAUAGCCCGUUGCAUAAUACCCCGGCGGGGACCGAGGACCGCGCUUCGGCAAGGAUGCUGGCGUAAUGGUCAUCAGCGACCCGUCUUGAAACACGGACCGAGGAGUCAAGCAUUAGUGCGAGUGUUUGGGUGUAAAACCCGCACGCGUAAUGAAAGUGAACGUAGGUGAGAGCUUCGGCGCAUCAUCGACCGAUCCUGAUGUUUUCGGAUGGAUUUGAGUAGGAGCAUUAACGCUUGGACCCGAAAGAUGGUGAACUAUACUUGAAUAGGGUGAAGCCAGAGGAAACUCUGGUGGAGGCUCGCAGCGGUUCUGACGUGCAAAUCGAUCGUCAAAUUUGAGUAUAGGGGCGAAAGACUAAUCGAACCAUCUAGUAGCUGGUUACCGC